AAAGGAAGCGAUUCCGGCGGGGGAUGGGCAUGCGGCGCAUUAGCUAGUCGGCGGGGUAACGGCCCACCGAGGCGACGAUGCGUAGGGGUUCUGAGAGGAAGGUCCCCCACACUGGUACUGAGACACGGACCAGACUCCUACGGGAGGCAGCAGUGAGGAAUAUUGGUCAAUGGGCGGGAGCCUGAACCAGCCAAGUCGCGUGAGGGAAGACGGUCCUAUGGAUUGUAAACCUCUUUUGCCGGGGAGCAACGGGGUCCUUGCGAGGGCCUAAUGAGAGUACCCGGAGAAAAAGCAUCGGCUAACUCCGUGCCAGCAGCCGCGGUAAUACGGAGGAUGCGAGCGUUAUCCGGAUUUAUUGGGUUUAAAGGGUGCGUAGGCGGGCUGUUAAGUCAGCGGUCAAAUGUCGGGGCUCAACCCCGGCCUGCCGUUGAAACUGGCGGCCUCGAGUGGGCGAGAAGUAUGCGGAAUGCGUGGUGUAGCGGUGAAAUGCAUAGAUAUCACGCAGAACUCCGAUUGCGAAGGCAGCAUACCGGCGCCCGACUGACGCUGAGGCACGAAAGCGUGGGUAUCGAACAGGAUUAGAUACCCUGGUAGUCCACGCAGUAAACGAUGAAUGCUAGCUGUCCGGUUCUACGGGACUGG
rnacentral:rRNA from 1 species